rnacentral:rRNA from 1 species
UACGAGGGGGGCGAGCGUUGUUCGGAAUUAUUGGGCGUAAAGGGUGCGUAGGCGGUUUGGUAAGUCUGAUGUGAAAUCUAUGGGCUCAACUCAUAGUCUGCAUCGGAAACUGCCGGGCUUGAGUGUGGGAGAGGUGAGUGGAAUUCCUGGUGUAGCGGUGAAAUGCGUAGAUAUCAGGCGGAACACCUGUGGCGAAAGCGGCUCACUGGACCAUAACUGACGCUGAUGCACGAAAGCUAGGGGAGCAAACAGG